GAUGAACGCUAGCGGCAGGCUUAAUACAUGCAAGUCGAGGGGCAGCACGGGUAGCAAUACCUGGUGGCGACCGGCAAACGGGUGCGGAACACGUACGCAACCUUCCCAUAACUGGUGAAUAGCCUUCCGAAAGGGAGAUUAAUACACCGUAACAUAACGAGUAGGCAUCUACUUGUUAUUAUAGGCUUCGGCCGGUUUUUGGAUGGGCGUGCGCCUGAUUAGGUAGUUGGCGGGGUAACGGCCCACCAAGCCUGCGAUCAGUAACUGGUGUGAGAGCACGACCAGUCACACGGGCACUGAGACACGGGCCCGACUCCUACGGGAGGCAGCAGUAAGGAAUACUGGUCAAUGGACGCAAGUCUGAACCAGCCAUGCCGCGUGAAGGAUGAAGGUCCUCUGGAUUGUAAACUUCUUUUAUCUGGGACGAAAAAAGGGAUUCUUUCUCACUUGACGGUACCAGAGGAAUAAGCACCGGCUAACUCCGUGCCAGCAGCCGCGGUAAU
rnacentral:rRNA from 1 species